AACGAACGCUGGCGGCAUGCCUAACACAUGCAAGUCGAACGAGACCUUCGGGUCUAGUGGCGCACGGGUGCGUAACGCGUGGGAACCUGCCCUUAGGUUCGGAAUAACUCCCCGAAAGGGGUGCUAAUACCGGAUAAUGUCUUCGGACCAAAGAUUUAUCGCCUUUGGAUGGGCCCGCGUUGGAUUAGCUAGUUGGUAGGGUAAAAGCCUACCAAGGCGACGAUCCAUAGCUGGUCUGAGAGGACGAUCAGCCACACUGGGACUGAGACACGGCCCAGACUCCUACGGGAGGCAGCAGUGGGGAAUAUUGGACAAUGGGCGAAAGCCUGAUCCAGCAAUGCCGCGUGAGUGAUGAAGGCCUUAGGGUUGUAAAGCUCUUUUACCCGGGAUGAUAAUGACAGUACCGGGAGAAUAAACUCCGGCUAACUCCGU
rnacentral:rRNA from 1 species